UGCAGUCGAACGAUGAAGCCCUUCGGGGUGGAUUAGUGGCGAACGGGUGAGUAACACGUGGGCAAUCUGCCCUUCACUCUGGGACAAGCCCUGGAAACGGGGUCUAAUACCGGAUAACACUCGCCGAGGCAUCUCGGUGGGUUGAAAGCUCCGGCGGUGAAGGAUGAGCCCGCGGCCUAUCAGCUUGUUGGUGAGGUAGAAGCUCACCAAGGCGACGACGGGUAGCCGGCCUGAGAGGGCGACCGGCCACACUGGGACUGAGACACGGCCCAGACUCCUACGGGAGGCAGCAGUGGGGAAUAUUGCACAAUGGGCGAAAGCCUGAUGCAGCGACGCCGCGUGAGGGAUGACGGCCUUCGGGUUGUAAACCUCUUUCAGCAGGGAAGAAGCGAAAGUGACGGUACCUGCAGAAGAAGCGCCGGCUAACUACGUGCCAGCAGCCGCGGUAAUACGUAGGGCGCAAGCGUUGUCCGGAAUUAUUGGGCGUAAAGAGCUCGUAGGCGGUCUGUCACGUCGGAUGUGAAAGCCCGGGGCUUAACCCCGGGUCUGCAUUCGAUACGGGCAGACUAGAGUGUGGUAGGGGAGAUCGGAAUUCCUGGUGUAGCGGUGAAAUGCGCAGAUAUCAGGAGGAACACCGGUGGCGAAGGCGGAUCUCUGGGCCAUUACUGACGCUGAGGAGCGAAAGCGUGGGGAGCGAACAGGAUUAGAUACCCUGGUAGUCCACGCCGUAAACGGUGGGAACUAGGUGUUGGCGACAUUCCACGUCGUCGGUGCCGCAGCUAACGCAUUAAGUUCCCCGCCUGGGGAGUACGGCCGCAAGGCUAAAACUCAAAGGAAUUGACGGGGGCCCGCACAAGCAGCGGAGCAUGUGGCUUAAUUCGACGCAACGCGAAGAACCUUACCAAGGCUUGACAUCGCCCGGAAAGCAUCAGAGAUGGUGCCCCCCUUGUGGUCGGGUGACAGGUGGUGCAUGGCUGUCGUCAGCUCGUGUCGUGAGAUGUUGGGUUAAGUCCCGCAACGAGCGCAACCCUUGUUCUGUGUUGCCAGCAUGCCCUUCGGGGUGAUGGGGACUCACAGGAGACUGCCGGGGUCAACUCGGAGGAAGGUGGGGACGACGUCAAGUCAUCAUGCCCCUUAUGUCUUGGGCUGCACACGUGCUACAAUGGCAGGUACAAUGAGCUGCGAUGUCGCAAGGCGGAGCGAAUCUCAAAAAGCCUGUCUCAGUUCGGAUUGGGGUCUGCAACUCGACCCCAUGAAGUCGGAGUUGCUAGUAAUCGCAGAUCAGCAUUGCUGCGGUGAAUACGUUCCCGGGCCUUGUACACACCGCCCGUCACGUCACGAAAGUCGGUAACACCCGAAGCCGGUGGCCCAACCCCCUUGUGGGGAGGGAGCUGUCGAAGGUGGGACUGGCGAUUGGGACGAAGUC
rnacentral:rRNA from 1 species